UUCUUUGGGAGCACCCUGGGAAACAGUGUGGCUAUGACUUGGAGCUGCUCACCAGUUCCAGUCAUUCUGUGGUUGAGAGCUGCUCCCUAUGGAUGUUAAUUCUUCUCUAUUUUAGAUUUUCCACAGGUGUGGGCCCCAUUAGCUCUGGCCACCUGAGAAAGCCCUCAGGCAAAGAGUCGCAGGUGAAAGCCAGCAGUUAGAGGUUCACAGAAAUGAGUGCAGAAGCAUCUUCAGUUGGAGAGCCAUUGCCUCUUGCUGUGAAAUAUUUGGGAAUCUUCAGAAACCAUGAAGAAUAACCUGCUAAAGGCCACCAAGUUCUAUUGAACAUCAUGAAUCCUAUGCUCAAGUGAGAUCAGCUCAAGUGAGACCAGAUAUCUGAAGACCUUUUCAUUUUCGCCACCCUCAAAUGAAGGCAUGCAAGAUUGUUCCUGUAGAGACAAUAGAUGCUGUAAUGCAGAAAUUGAGAGACGGUAUCAAUAGAUAUUAUGGGAACUCACUAAAUUCAGACUGUACAGGAAAAGAAUGUUUCAGAAGAGUAAAAGACUAUUUUGGAAUGAAUUAUAGAGUAUUUUUUAAAGAAA
rnacentral:lncRNA from 1 species